AAAUUGAAGAGUUUGAUCAUGGCUCAGAUUGAACGCUGGCGGCAGGCCUAACACAUGCAAGUCGAGCGGUAGCACAGAGAGCUUGCUCUCGGGUGACGAGCGGCGGACGGGUGAGUAAUGUCUGGGAAACUGCCUGAUGGAGGGGGAUAACUACUGGAAACGGUAGCUAAUACCGCAUAACGUCGCAAGACCAAAGUGGGGGACCUUCGGGCCUCAUGCCAUCAGAUGUGCCCAGAUGGGAUUAGCUAGUAGGUGGGGUAACGGCUCACCUAGGCGACGAUCCCUAGC
rnacentral:rRNA from 1 species